rnacentral:rRNA from 1 species
GAUGAACGCUAGCUACAGGCUUAACACAUGCAAGUCGAGGGGUAACGAGAGGAAAGCUUGCUUUCCUUGUCGACGACCGGCGCACGGGUGAGUAACGCGUAUCCAACCUGCCCCCAACUAGGGAAUAACCUUGCGAAAGUAAGACUAAUACCCUAUAAUUUCCUCAGAUGACAUCUGACGAGGAAUAAAGAUUUAUCGGUUGUGGAUGGGGAUGCGUCUGAUUAGCUUGUUGGCGGGGUAACGGCCAACCAAGGCAACGAUCAGUAGGGGUUCUGAGAAGUAGGUCCCCCACAGUGGAACUGAGACACGGUCCAAACUACUACGGGAGGCAGCAGUGAGGAAUAUUGGUCAAUGGGCGGAAGCCUGAACCAGCCAAGUAGCGUGCAGGAUGACAGCCCUAUGGGUUGUAAACUGCUUUUAUACAGGAAUAAAGUUAGCCACGUGUGGUUAUUUGUAGGUACUGUAUGAAUAAGGACCGGCUAAUUCCGUGCCAGCCGCCGCAGUAA